AAACCCGGCUCUCUGAGGAGCAUUUUGCAGCUCAGAGAGGUUAAAUUCGGUGCCCUGUCAGGGGUCGGUGUUUCCAGAACAGAACCUUCUGUGUUCCUGUGGUCGGACAUGACGCCCAUCCUCAUCUCAGUGCUGGUGAUGAUACUUACAUUCGGAGGAAUCAGAGCCCAGACAGUGACCCAGCCAGAGGACCACAUCGCUGUCUUUGAAGGGGCCCUGGUGCAGGUGAAGUGCAACUACUCCUAUACGGGGAGCCCUGUGCUCUUCUGGUAUGUCCAGUACCCUGGACAAGGCCUCCAGGUCCUCCUGAAACACAUCUCAAGGGAUAGCGCCAAAGGAUUCACAGCUGCUCUCGACAGAGGAGAGAAGUCCUUCCACCUGCAGAAACCCUCAGCUCAUCUGGACGACUCAGCCACAUACUACUGUGCUCUGAGUGACACAGUAACUGCGCUUGCAGGGGAAGCGGAGCACAAACCCUUCAGAGUGACACAAAGCGCUUCCUGUCAGCUCUGUCUGUGGUCCCAGUGAGGCAUUCUUCCUCCAGAGCUUGGCAUUGAGUGUGCCUCUAAGAUACAGUAUCUUAUCAUGGAUCAGUUAGCUUCUGGACCUCAAUGAUUGGUUUAAAAAAUCUCAUCACCUACUCUGCUUAAAUUAGGUUUUUUUUUUUUAAUUGUAUUUAUUCUUUCUAGAAGCACCCACCAAAGAAACUUUUGAAGUAAAAAUGGCAUAGCACAGCAAAAAAAAAAAAAAGGCCAGAGGGACUGUCCAGGUGUAAGUGGUAUAGUCUUCUCUCUCUAACUCCCCUGCGCCCCAACCAUCCCUCAUGUGUUCUUCAUUUCAUCCCCAGUGCAACUCCUUAUUAGCUCUAUGCUGGUUCAUGGCUUCUGAUUGCUGAUCUCUCUGUCUCUAAUGAUCUCUUUCUUCUCUAUAUUUCACAGACUCCUACUUUAGCCAAGGUCUAGCCAAAGAGUAAAAAUACAACACAGUAAUUUGGACAAGAAAAAAAUUAAUGUGAAAAUUACUGUAUAAUAGAAGGAGAUUAUCUAUUAAUAGGGGAAAGGACUCUAAAGAAUGUAGAAAUUGCACAUGUAAGGAGAAGCUCUCAACUUCAGGACCAAGGCAGACUCCCAAGGAAGGAACACAUUGGUACAGGCACACUCUGGAUCCCUCCAGCCAGAACUAAGAUCCAGACCUCAUUGGGAAUGUGCAGCUGUAGUCUGCCAAGUGGUGGAGAAGUUUGCAAAGGUGCCAGAGAAAAACUAUUGCUAAGUGGUAAAAUACCUACCAGGAUCCAGUACAAUUUACAAAAAGCUGGCAAAGGUGUGCUGCUGUACUUCCUUGGGUGCUUACGAAGACUUGCCAAGAAACCAUCCAGAGGACUGUCACACACCUGCUAGAGGGGCACAUCCCUGGGAGUCCCCGGCUAGCCAAGUACUGCAGGGUGGACAAGAGAACCGGAAACACAUCAGCACCAGAGAAAGAAGCCUCUUUUUCCUUCAGUGUCCUUCCAGCCACAGUUAAAGACAAAGCUCCUUAUCAUACCAGUUGGCAAAGGAGAAACAAUUACAGGGUCCACAUCCCAUAUCAUAAAAAGGGAAUGAUGGACAAAUUUAGAGCUAGGAGAAAAUUAAUUGGUAAUUGGCCAACCUCAUCCCUCUGGCUGAUCUUUCAUAUGCAUCUCUAUAUACACAUCUGCUCAUCCCAAUAACAGUGAAUUGUAGUUCCACUUAACAAGUUAAAGAGGUCUCUGAACAAUUGAAAAAGGUUUUUUUCCUCAUUUUCCCCCCAAAUGAGGAAAUCCAUAGUCCCAACAUUCACUGUAUGAAUCUCUGGCUCUAAAAUCAUUUUUAAAAUUCAGAAGGAGUUCUACAUACAGACUACAUUGUAAAGUUAGUUACCAGUUAUCUGCAUAAAAAAUAAUUAUGCUGGGGGAAAAGAAAGAAAGGAGGAGGAUAGAGGAGGAGAAGAAAUAUAUACAAAUAGAAACAUAUAAAUACAAUGAGCAAAGAGAAAAGAGAAAAUAUACUACUAUAUUCCUUGAUUUAAGAUUUGUUUAUGAGUCUGCAAUUGACAUAGACUAUAUCAUUCUUUUAGUUUCUAUUUUCAUUCCUCUGUCAUGGAAUCACCAAAAUCUUCUUUCUCAAAGUUCUGAGUUCUCAAUGAUCUGACCUUUUUAUUUGUUAUGGAGAAAACCCUUGUAGCACAAUCCAUGAAAAAAAAGAGAUUAAAUUGAACUCAUCAAAAUUAAAACCUUCAGCAUUGUGGAAGACCCUGUUAAGAGGAUGAAAGGUAACUUACUGACAAGGAGAACAUUCUGUAAAUCAUGUACAUGCAGAGGCCCUGUAGCUAGAACAAAUAAAAAAGUCUCAAAUUUAAUAGUAAAAGAAAAACAAAAUCAAAAGUCCUCAAAUAAUCCCUUAGUGUAUCAGAAAAAUGUCAAUUCUGGUUUUCAUAUUGUACUACAAUUCUAUAAAAAAUCUCACCAUUGGAGGAAGAUAGUGAAGGACAUACGACUCUAAAUAUUUUAGGAACUUUCUGUGGGUACAUAAUAAUUCUAAAACAUAUUUUAAAAUUGCACUGUUAUUAUCACCAAUAUUUUCAGAAAUACCAUGAAGAAUUGGGAAGGUAUCAAAUCCAUGUUAAUGAAUGUGAAUUUUUUAAAUAUUUAAAAUUCACAUAAAUGCUCAAAAUAUCAUCGACAACAACCAGUCACUUGUCUGCCAAAUUGUUAGCUCAAAUCUUCCAUUUUCAAGAAAAUGUCUAGAAACUACCCAAACCUGCUGGGCUGUGCUCCUGCUUUCAAGUAAAAAAAAAAAAUAGAGUUCUAUGGAAAUGCAGCUUGCUGCUCCCACUGCAAACCAUGCUCCAGUGCUCUUCCUAAGACCCUGUCAUGCUUAAGACCUCAGAGGUGCUGCAAGCACCAUCUGCUUCAUCACGUAGAAUAGUAAAAAGGUGUACACUUAAAAGAAAAGAUACAUCUUUUUUUUUCAUUUCUGUAUCAAGGACAUACUUAAGCAAAAUUUUUUUUUCUUUUGCAAAUACAUGGUGGGUCUCUUUCUGUGGUGAUGCAUACACACAAGGACUAUUAGCAUGUUUUAGGCUCACUGAUUUUACCUAAGAUGACAACAAUUGUGUUUGUACCAUCAGUACAAAUGUCAACACAGUGAAACCCCUGAACUCUAUCUUAGUGUUAUGAUAAAAAAAAAUUAUUUUCAUUAUGCAGAUUGUCUGAUACAGAAAUACUCUCAGAUAUUUCAGUGGACCUAAGACAUACAGUUUGACAAGUGCUAUUCUAGCAUUUUCUGUUUCAGUGGGAAAUAACCUGAUUCUCUACUGCAGGUAAUUUUUUUUUUAUUUAACUGUGAGCUUAUAGGACUUUACCAUUUAUUUAGGGUAAAUAAUAAUUGUGAGGUAUACAAAAAGGUCUGACAAAUGUCCUCUAGAAUUGGAGGUGAGGAACUAUCUCAGCAUAGCUAUGUCCUACAAACAUUAAUGAAUUCUACAUAUGAUGGUUAUUGUUCUUAACUUUUUUAGAUAAGAAGGAAAAAAU